UUUUUGAGCAUCUCUUGAGUAUAUACAUCUGUCAAAAUCUGCCAUAUUUUUCAUGCUAAGCAUCUUAGUUUAGGCAUAAAAAAGAGUAAGAAAGAGAGAAAAAAUUCUAGGCUUGAGUCCUUAUUCACUAUUUACCAGCUGUGUAGAUCUGAAAAUAAAAACGAAGUCCAAAUAGCUUAUCUACAUCUUAGUUUCCCUCAUUUGUACAAAUGGGCUUAAAAAAAUUCUUCUGAAAAGCCUGGCACAAACUAGGUCUCCAUAAAUGCAUGUUUGUUUGUCUCCUUUUCCUUCACCCCUCCAUCCUUAAUCUGCCCUCAUCACAAGGCAAGAGCUGCCUCCCUGCCCCCUGCCACCCCUGUGUGUGUGUGUGUGUGUGUGUGUGUGUGGUGUGUAUAUGUGUAUGUCACUCUUUGUGUGUAUAUGUGUGGUGUGUGUUUGUGUGUGUGUGUGUGUGUGUGUGUGUAUGACUCUGUGUGUGUGUUUGCUAUGUGUAUGACUGAACUGUGCAUACUAGGAUUGGGGUGAGAUUACCUGACUAACCAAGGGUUAGAGCAUGAAGGCCCCAGAAGAAAAUAGGGGAAAGCAUUAACUUUGCUGUCCACAUUUACUAGUUCAUAAAUCCCCCACCAAAAUGUGUACAGAACAAGCCCAGCUCCCAUAAGGCAUUGCGGUGAUUAAUGUUUAUCUUCAUUCCACAUCAGGGCCCGAGGGCUGGCAGCUUCCCUCCUUCCCUGCCGUCCUUUAUCAUAUGGUUAACUGGUUAGCUGGCUCAGAUUGUGCAGCCAGAACUGAAGGGAGGCGGCCAAGCAGCUUGCUUUCUUUGCUCCCUUGCCUCUCCCUCACCUUUUGUAGUCUCUCUGCCUUUGCUCCAUUGUCUCAUGAGCUCCAAAAGCACUCCAGGUGCAUGUGUGUGUGUGCCACACAAGCACACAGACACACAGGUUCGGAUCCACUUGCUUCUUGCCGCUGUGGCCAGGCCUUUGAAAGUCUCUUAUCACCCUGGUGCACAUGUGCUGGGCUGUGGGUGCAUUUGCAAGGGUAGAAAGGAGGCAGUGGGAAGCUUACAGGAGAAAACAGAGCUCCCAGCUCCCCUGGUCCCUGCCCUGUUUGUCUAGAUGAAAUUUUGGAUGCUACCGGUGUCUUGUCAGCAAAUCUUUUGCAAAAUAAAUGGAAGUAAUAUUAUAUAUAAAAGCUGAUUUGUUCAGUAUUUAGCCUAUGGAGAAGAUGUGUAUAUAUGUAGAGAAAAUGCCUGAUUCCUCAUGGGGCUGUGACUUCAGGUUUGACAGACAUGGAACCACAGCCAAGAAAAACAAAAGCAUUGUUUGAAUGCCUACUGUGUGCUGAGUUCUUUCAGGAGCAUGCACUUACGUGAUUCUUGGUGCCUGCUGUAUGUGGUGGGUAAUCAGUCAACAAGGCCUGAAUAGACUCACGAGUUGGGGAGUCUCUCUGCACCUCUUGUUAAUAACAGAGACCUUGUGUGGUGAACUGACUCCUGUCAAGUGUCGGUGCAGAGGGCUGAAAGGGGCAGGUGUACGGAGAGCACUGCACUCUCCUAGUAGAUGGCAACACUUAUUUUCUGUUCUUCCCUCUUUUAAACUUAUUAAAGCUUCAUUAAAGACACACUCUGCUUACUUUGAGGCUGCGGGCUACACUUAGCGAAUUAAAAACAACAACAAAAUAAAUCCAAAAACUUCAGAUAAUUAAACAAGUUCUGCUCUGAAACAAGCGUGUAAACAGGAUGAAUCCUAUCCUAAAAGACAAGGGCAGAAGAUUAGACUGCCUCAUCACUCAGUUUUCCCUCUGCCUUCUCUAGGAUGGUGAACAUGGAACAUUCUGGAAUUUUCCAUUCUUGAGCAACAUAUUGUCAUCUUGUCUCCUCCAAACACUCCAGAAAUGACUAUACAGGGAUGGCAGAGACAAUGCUUUGUCCCUGUUCAUUGAGCAAUCUGCUCUCUCUCUCUCUCUCUCUCUCUCUCUCUCUCUCUCUCUCUCUCUCUCUCUCGGUCUCCAUUUGUUUUUGUCUCUCUUUCUGUUUCUUUCUAAGGUAAUGAUGACUACAGUAUCCACUGUCUGAAGAGUGUCCUGUCAAUCACACAAGGCUGGAGAAUGUGUAGCAUGACCCUCCAACAGCCACAGGCUUCUCAAAAUCUCCUUGUUUAAACUGAGCUGACUGCUUUGUGCUCUCUGACCCAGCAUUUGUCACCAUUCUUGACCUGGAUGUAAAGAAAUAUACCUGGGGGUCACCCAAGAAUCCAGGCUGACCUCUAUACCCAGGCAUUAUCUCCAUGAUGUCAGUGUCUUCUUUUUAUUUUUUUCAUUGUAUAUACAUUUUAUCCAUUCUUAAUGCCAACCCUGUAGCCCCACAUCAGUAUGCCAAUGAUGGGAAUCAAGGCCAGCAUCCACAUAGACGCUGGCCUUGAAAAUUCUAGACCUGCAUGCUCCAAUAUCCUGUCAACCGGUCUUUGGAAACUUACUUCUGAGAAAUUGGGUGUUCCUAUUUGGAACCGGGAAUUUGGAGUAAGGGUUACAAAGAAACAGUUUGGAAUUGUGAGUUGGACCAGCCUCAGCAGGAGUUUUCUUUUCCCUGUAGGCCAGAGGAGAGACAUGGGUUGUGCAAUAUUCCAACCAGCAGCAAUACAAGAAACAGCCCUUGUUUGUAUGGAUUUUCUCUAAGUAAGGUCUGGAUCUCUUUACUGUCCGUGCCAAUUCUGUGAGCUAGCACGUAGCAAUCUGAUACUUGAUUUUAAAUUAUCUAGGUAAAUCUCCUCUCUCUCUCUCUCUCUCUCUCUCUCUCUCUCUCUCUCUCUCUCUCUCUCCCUCUCUCUCUCUCUCUUGUUUUAUUGAGACAGGGUCUUCCUUUGAAGUUCCAGGUGGUCUUGAACUUCAGGUUGGUUUCAAACUUGAGGCAAUCCUCCUGCUUCAGCCAUGGCUUAGGAUGGUCUGCUGACUGGGGCCUUCUGCCUACUGGGAACCAACUCCUGGGAACCAAAAGAAUACCCAGAGACUCAAGCAUUUGAUACUUUUGAAAAGAAAAGUACCUUCUGCUUUUUUUGCAGAAAUUUUCAAAGAACUGUUUCACUCAAUACAUAUAUUGUAACUGUUUUGAGGAAAAAGUACCCAAAACCCCCAUAGUUUCUGUUACUGUUCUGUUCCUUGUGGGGAAAGGACCUUUCUUUCCAUGAGUGUCAGAUUUCUUAAGAUCAGCUGUUAGAUUUGAAAAGUUGUGGCUACAGAUGUUCUUUCUCGGACAUUCAGUAGCCUACAAAGACCACUGGUUCUUCCUUUAGUUUCAGGCCCAGCACUAGGCAGGGAAGCCUGAUUUUACUACUUAGUGCAUCAUUUACAUCAUGUUCAGUAAAGUCAAGAAACGUGGAAUAAGUGGUCCCAAUGGGAAAUGUGUGGUUAGGCUCCCACUAGCUUUGCUUGUAGCAUUUUGUCUUAGCUAGGGUUUCAUUGCUGUGAAGAGACACCAUGACCAUGGCAACUCUUAUAAAGGCAGACAUUUAAUCAGGGCAUUUUCAUCAUGACAGGAAGCAUGGCAGUGUGCUAGCAGACAUGGUGCUGGGGUAGGAGCUGAGAGUUCUAUGUCUUGAUCUGAAGGUAGCCAGACUGUCUUCUACAGGCAGUAGGGAGUUGACUGAAAUUGUAUACUGGGCAGAGCUUAAGCCUGGGAGACCUCAGGCCCACCCACACAGUAACGCAUCCCCUCCAACAAGACCACACCUCCUAGUAGUGCCAUUUCCUGUGAACCAAGCUUUCAAACACAUGAGUCUGUGGAGGGCCAAACCUAUUCAUACCAUCACACAUUUCUUUAUCCAGUCUACAUGUAACUGUAUCUUUGUGUGUUUCUGUUUUAAGAGCCUUGUUUAAUAUGCAUAGUUUAUUCAUGAAUGAUGAGGUCACUCCCAGAAGCACCAUAUAUUUUGCUUAAACAAAACUUUUCUAAUGCCUGUAUCUUCAUUUCAGGCCAUAUGCCAGUCUUCUUGCUCUUCACCACUGAACUUGAGGAACAUCUUACUUUAGCAAUAGAAAUGCCACCAAGAGUCACAGACCCUGACAAGGACAGCUGGUUAGCAUAUGGGAGCUGCAGGAGAAGGCAGAGCAUUUGCUACCUUGUUGAGCCUCACCUUUGUUGAGGCGUACAUGUCAGCAACUCAAAACUUUCACUACUCUUCACAAGUCCAAAGAGUGCUGAGUGUUAAUUCGGGCUUAUGAACCAACCUGAGUGAGUUUAGCCUCUGUGACUAGUAAGGAGCAGCUCGUGUGUGUGUGUGUGUGUGUGUGUGUGUGUGUGUGUGUGUGUGUGUGUGUGUAUGCACAAGCAUACACACUUUGGCUUCUCUAAGAGGGUGGGGGACUUGUUCCCCCAACUGUGGGCUGUGGAAAUGUAGGAGCUUGUUCAAACUAGAUGAGGUGGUAUACAUGUAACACUGUGUAGAAGGCAAGGAUCAUGCUUGCUUAGUUGCAACAUGAGACAACAUUGCUAGACCUUCAGGCUGGUGCUUCCUAAUCUUGAAUGCAGGGGCUCUGACUCCCUAGACACGUCUAUUGAACCAUGAUGUUUAAGUUAUUUUCGUAAGUGUGAACUGUUAUUUGACCCUUUUCCUCUAGUUCUCUCAUUAGCACAGACUGGAGGUUCUCAAAGUCUUUGGGAUGGAUGAUGCCAUUGCUCUGUUAAACAUGUUUAUCCCAUUAACAUAAAUGCAUAAUUGAUGUCCAAUAAUUUAUCUUGAGAUCAGACUCCUGGUUCUCUUCUCUCUCUCUCUCUCUCUCUCUCUCUCUCUCUCUCUCUCUCUCUCUCUGUGUGCUUCAACUUCAUGACUUCUGACCCCUUUGUACUGUGACUCUCAUUUGACUUUUGACCUCCACAGGUAGUUUCUUGCCAUUGCUUCUUUCAUAUCACAGCCUGGCUGCCGUAGGGAGGCAGCCAGCCAGCCAGCUGUUGAUUCUGAUCUCUCCAACCUGAGAGGUAUAUCUUUGUUAGGCAUAAGAAGCUUCCAGAAGUUCUUCUUGAGUAUGAGUAUGAGUAUGAGUAUGAGUUCAAGUAUGAGUAUGAAUAGGGGGUGUGUGUGCAUGCAUAUAUACAUGCAUUGCUCAUAUGUGUGCAUAUGGAAAUGCAUGAAAAUGCAUAAAAGUACAUAUGCUGUGGAGGCUGGAGGAAAUCUUCAAUUGUCCCUCUUCUUGUUUUGCAGACAGAAUCUCUCACUGGCCUAGAACUCACCAAGUAGGCUACAAUGGCUGGCCAGCAAGUCCAGAGAUCUGGUCUACCUGUCUCUUCCUCUAAUACAAGCACUUCUCAUCAUUCCUGACUUUUUUUUAAAAAAUGAGUUCUGGGAGAUCAAAUUCUGGUCCUCAUAUUUGUCCACAAAGGCUUUGCUGAGGCUCCUGCAUCUGGGAGUUCUAAGGAAUGAAGUGACUGUGGAGAGAUGGUAUCUGUGUUGUCCUGUUUCUUGGAUACUGUUCUACUUCUCUGUCGCUGUGAUAGAAUCCUGACCAAAACAACUUAAAAGAUGAAAGAGUUUAUUUGGCUUAAAAUAAACUCUUCUUUAUUUUAUCUAACUAUGUUUAUUUAACUAUGUUAGAAUCCAAAAUGGAAGGAGUCCAGGGUAGGAGAGGGCAAGGCAGGGGCCAUGAGGCAGGAGCUGAAAUAGAGACCUCCAGGAGACGCUGAUUAUUGCCUCUCUUCCAGGCUCACAUCCAUUUAAGUCUUUGAGACAGUCCAGGCCUACCUACUUAAGUAUGGCACAGCUCACAGUGGCUGCAUCCUCCUAUGGCAACCUUCAUCCAAUACAGCCACAGACAUGCUGAAAGGACAUCUGACGGUAACAGCUCUUCAACCAAGAGUCCAUAUUUCCAGACAGGGCCUUCCACUGGACUGUGACUUGAUGAUUUGGUUUGGCUUGCUGACUGGUGAGCCCCAGGGACUCUCUCAUCUCUGCCUCUCCAGUGCUGAAAUUUCUGGGACAUCCCUGGCUAUUUCAUCUGGGCUGUAGAGAUUGGACUCAUGUCCUUAUGUCUGCAAGGUCAUUUACAUGGUACCUGCAUUCUCUGGCAUUUGGACAGCAUGGACCUUUUUUUUAUUUUCCCUGUGCACGAUGCUCUGUUUUAUUACAUGCAGUCCUAGAUCCAUAGAAUUAAGCUCAGAUUUUCAGGCUUGGCAUCAGAAGCCUUUACCCACGGAGCCAUCUCACCUGACGUGUGUGUAGUUUUGCAGAGAAUAACAAGAAAGACAUUUGCUGACACUGCCUCCUGUCUGGAUUUACAGGAAAAAUCCUCUGAGAAACAGGGAAAUAAUAAUAAGUGUUAUUGUUCUCCUGGAAGAAUUAUAUCUUAGCAAGCAACGCAGAGGUGUUGCUGCUUUGAAAGAAUCUGCCGACACAAAAUAGAACGCGAGAAAAGAAACAGCACAAGAGUUGACCCUAAAGGUCGGAGUACCCAGAGCAAGAUAGAACCAGGAAGUGCGGCUGUCGGGCUGGGCCAGGGGCUGUUCAUCCCUGCUGCCUGCCAAGAACAUGCUCAUGAUCCUGUUUGCUGCUACUGCUGUUUGUAAAUACUUCAGUGGAGAAAUACAAAGAGAAGAUGCGAAUGCUGGGAGAAGACUAUAACAUUAAAGCAGAAAUUGAUUUAAAAAUCCAAGUUAGCAGAGGCAAUUACAAAUUCAAAGACGGAACCCAAAUCAGAUCGGGCAGAGAAAAUGUGUUUGCUGGGAGGAAGGAAGUGAGCUUAUAUAACGCCAAUUUCAAGUUGAUUUUGGACACAAACUUACCAAAUUUGACAACUACCCUUGCAAAGCAAGAACAUUUUUACUUUGAGUGGGAACAAUGAACGCUCUGUGUGUUUAAAUUGUUCUUCCUUUAGUAUGAUAGCCUUUUAAACAUUGAAUAUUGCAUUACUAUCUUUGAAUUUUUAAAUGGUUUUUACUUGCUAUGUAUUUUCAGUGAAUAGUCCAUUCUCUUAAUGCUGCUGGUGCUCAAAUGUCUGUAUGGGGAGGAUGAUUUGGUUUAUAAUAAAAUUAUGUCAUAGAUUUAUUACAUAUUUACAAAAAAGCUUCUCUGAUAACAUUUUGAACAAGAAGCAGUGCACGAUUGAUUAUCACAGCUACUCUUAUUAUUGCGUAUGUGUGUGAACGUGUGUAUGCAUGUUUGUGGGUAUGCUUCUGUGUAGGGGUGUGGUUUAACAUGUGUGCUCAUGCAUUGGAGGCUAGAGGACAAUCUUUGGUAUUGAUUCUCAGGUGCAUACUUAUAUACUACAAUAAAG